UACGAAGGGUGCAAGCGUUACUCGGAAUUACUGGGCGUAAAGCGUGCGUAGGUGGUGAGUUAAGUCUGUCGUGAAAGCCCCGGGCUCAACCUGGGAAUGGCGAUGGAUACUGGCUCGCUAGAGUGCGGUAGAGGAGAGUGGAUUCCCGGUGUAGCAGUGAAAUGCGUAGAGAUCGGGAGGAACAUCAGUUGCGAAGGCGGCUCUCUGGGACGGUACUGACGCUGAGACGCGAAAGCGUGGGGAGCGAACAGG
rnacentral:rRNA from 1 species